ACCGGCGUAGCUUAGUGGUAGAGUAGCGGUCUCCAAAACCGCUGGUGGAGGUUCGAUUCCUCCCGCCGGUGCCA
rnacentral:tRNA from 1 species